rnacentral:rRNA from 1 species
AGUGCUCAAAGCAGGCCGUUGGUCGCCUGAAUACUGUGUGCAUGGAAUAAUGGAAUAGGACCUCGGUUCCAUUUUGUUGGUUUUCAGAACUCGAGGUAAUGAUUAAUAGGGACGGACGGGGGCAUUCGUAUUGCGACGUUAGAGGUGAAAUUCUUGGAUCGUCGCAAGACGAACCGAUGCGAAAGCAUUUGCCAAGAACGUUUUCGUUGAUCAAGAACGAAAGUUAGAGGUUCGAAGGCGAUCAGAUACCGCCCUAGUUCUAACCAUAAACGAUGCCAGCUAGCCAUCCGCCGAAGUUCCUUCUAUGACUCGGCGGGCAGCUUCCGGGAAACCAAAGCUCUUGGGUUCCGGGGGAAGUAUGGUUGCAAAGCUCAAACUUAAAGGAAUUGACGGAAGGGCACCACCAGGAGUGGAGCCUGCGGCUUAAUUUGACUCAACACGGGAAACCUCACCAGGCCCAGACACCGGUAGGAUUGACAGAAUAAGAGCUCUUUCUUGAUUCGGUGGGUGGUGGUGCAUGGCCGUUCUUAGUUGGUGGAGCGAUUUGUCUGGUUAAUUCCGAUAACGAACGAGACUCUGGCCUGCUAACUAGGCGUCGGAA